UACGUAGGGGGCAAGCGUUGUCCGGAAUUAUUGGGCGUAAAGAGCGUGUAGGCGGCCAGAUAAGUCCGCUGUGAAAUCUCGAGGCUCAACUUCGAGCUGUCGGUGGAAACUAUCUGGCUAGAGUCCGGAAGAGGAGAAUGGAAUUCCUGGUGUAGCGGUGAAAUGCGCAGAUAUCGGGAAGAACACCCGUGGCGAAGGCGGGUCUCUGGGCCGUAACUGACGGCUGAGGAGCGAAAGCGUGGGGAGCGAACAGG
rnacentral:rRNA from 1 species